ensembl:lincRNA
AUGCGGUACAUCGGCUCAACAACCGAUCGAGCGCCUGCUGCCUCCCGGGGUUUAUCUCCACUUACAGGGGACGCGCUCCUUGUGAGGGCCUGUCUCCCGCUCCGCCACCCUGUCACUUCCCCGCUGCCAUCCCCAGCCCAGUGCCAGGGCCUGGCUCCCGCCCGCAGGGCCGCGUCAGGUGCCCAGGAGACGGGGCCAGCGGGUUAUCUCUCUCCUCCGCUGCAUGGUGACCCCAAGGAGCUCAUGCAUCGAGGGGGUGGGGGGGCUUGGGAGCGCCCGGGGGCAGGGGCGGGGGGUGACGGUGAUCUCCCAGGGUGUGAGGGUCCAGGAGAGAGCCUGAGGGUCUCCAGGCAACAAGGAUGCCCACGUGGAUUGGGCGAGGUGGCCUCAGGAGAACGGCCGCGAUACAGGGACACCGCGGGGACUGCGCUAGGUGCACGUCUGAAUCAUCUCGUUNNNNNNNNNNNNNNNNNNNNNNNNNNNNNNNNNNNNNNNNNNNNNNNNNNNNNNNNNNNNNNNNNNNNNNNNNNNNNNNNNNNNNNNNNNNNNNNNNNNNGGGGAUUAUAUGUCACUGUUUCCCACCAGCAGGGGGUGGGGGGGGGGUGGGGGGGGUGGAGUCAGGCUUUAAUAGCCCCUCCAAUAGCCUUUCCCAAAGGAGAGUGGCCUCAGCUCUUACGGGGUCCUCAGCAAAGCAGAUCUGCAUCCAUACUUGGAAUUGUCGCUCCUUGAUGGUCUAGCUACACAAUCAAAAAUUUUGAAGCCACUUGGCGGAUGAGGGGUGUAUAUUAGAAAGAAAGAGGGAAUUUGGGGGUGAGGGAAUAAAAAUAGAUGCAGUGCUUUUUUUCUUUUUAAGAGCUCCAUAUAGAUUUAAAGUCCUUUUGUUAAUUUAGGAACAUAAAACUGUGUGAUGUAUAGCUUAGUUUGCUCGUAAAAUUACUAAGUGUGGCAUAUUUAGAGCUGUGAAAGCUUGGGGUAAGAGGAAAAAAAUCAGUGAGUUUUUUUUUACAAGUCUUUAGGGGGAAAUGCAUUUUUUCUGGCUUGUUCCCACCAAUGCCAGGCUUUCCACUGCUCAGGUGGGAUUGAUGGUUGCCCUCAGGCCAAAUUACAGUUGAGGCCAGUGCUUGCCUGGGGUGUUAAUCUGGGCCCAGGUCUAACCCCCAACGCCCAAGUCCAGGCCCCUAGCGGAAGCCCACAACCUUGAAGAAUCAGGGCCUCCUCUGUCUUUCUCCCGCUCCUCCCGAGGCAGACAGGAAGCGCCCUCUGACCAGGCCUGGACUGCCGCCCAGUGGGCAUCUGUCCACUUGCUUAAUGGCCCGUGGGGUUGGGAAGUCACAGAAGGGACUUCAGAGGGGACUCAGAAGGGACCUCAGCGAUCAGAUGGGCUAACCGCUCCCUUCUUGCCAUUUGUGGUCUCUGAGGGUCAGCCCCUCCACACCACCGUGGGUGGUUAGCGUGUCGCUUUUCACACGGAACACGCAUGCAUCUGACCUAGUUCUGUCCUCCAGGGACACUGGGCCAGUCUGCUGUGGUUUAGUCGUGUCCGACUCUUUGUCACCCCGUGGACUGUAACCUACCAGGCCCCUCUGUCCAUGGGAUUCUCCAGGCAAGAAUACUGGAGUGGGUUGCCAUUUCCUCCUCCAGGGGAUCUUCCUAGCCCAGGGAUCAAACUCGCUUCUCUUGCAUUGGCAGGCAGGGUCUUUACCACUGAGGCACCUGGAAACCAGUCUGUCUCCACCUAAAGAUCACCAUCUGAGCUGGGCCCAAUGUGGCCCCCACAGGGACAGCGAAGGAAUCUGUGUCUCAUCCUCAGGUUGCUUUAGAAUGAGCAGGGAGUGAGAUGAGUGAGGACAGAAUGCUCUGGAAACUCCCAGGAUCCAUUCCCCUGGUGGAGGAAAUGACUCCGCGGAGGACGCGGGUAUUAGAGGCAGGCCUUUGAAGUGGUGUGUGCCAAAGGCGUGAGGGUUGGUGGAAGGAGGCUAAUAUAGUGGGAGGGAUGAACAAGAAUAGGGAAGCCGGACUUCCCGAGAGGUCCAGUGGUUAAGAAUCCACCUGCUUAAUGCAGGGGACAGGGGUUUCCAUCCCUGGUCUGGGAGCUGAGAUCCCGCAUGCCGCGGGGCAGCUGCUGAAGCCUGCAUGCCCAGAGUCUGCUCUGCACCGAGAGAAGCUGCUGCAGUGAGAAGCUCGUGAGCCACAGUGGAGAGCGGCCCCCACUUGCUGCAGCUGGAGAAAGCUGACAUGCAGCGAAGACCCAGCACAGCCAAAAAUGAAUGAAUGAAUGAGUAAACAAAUAAGAUGCACUUACCUUUAAAAAGAAUAGGGAAACCACUCUUAAGACAUUCAGCAUGUGAAGUUCAUACUAGGUGUGCUGAGAAGGCUGUUCUUAGAGGUGCCCACUGGUGGCAGGGCUCUGCAGCCUGUGUGUCCUUGAAGAGGGUGGAGACCUCCUCCCUGAGAGCGUCCAGGCUGCCAGCCCCACCUUCCAGGCUCCGAGGCCCUGGGUCUGAGGACGAGAAGGAGAGAAUGAGUGGGCAGGAUGGAGCCUCCUGCGGAAGGGGCUUCCCUGGCCACCCAGUGGGUCUGGGGGCCAGGCAGUGGCAUGAGGACUGGAGAGUGGGGGCAAGGCGCAGCUGGUGGAAGCGGGCCAUUCCCCUGGGGGGCAGAGCCUCCCCGGAAGGGUAGGAAGGAGAGUUUUAGGGGCACGCACGGGAGGGCUUGGUGAGGAGGGAUAAAGCAGGGUGCUGGGAAAUGAAAUCACUGGGUGGAUUGGAGCCACACUUGGAGGGUCUCCAGGGUCAUAAGGUCCGUGAAAUGUGAUACCAGUCCUACUGUAAGUGGGCGGGAAUCCAGGCUUUAAAGUACCAAAUUCGCUGGUUUACUCCCCAAACGUGUUUGCUGCGUGCCAGGCACCGGCCCCAGUGCACAGAAAUAUGAUUGAGACUCUGGAGAACGGAGCGGGUAGCCAGAGUGUGUGUCCUGUGACUCCGAGAAAGGGAGAGGUUAGCCCUGGGGAGGUCUGAGAGGAAAGGCCCGGGCACAGGGUCACACUUGUGUGAGGGUCCGGAGGCCUUGAAGGUGUCCGCAUGGCCACGGGGGAUGAGAUGGGAGCCGUGGGGGGGGUGCCUUGAGCAGGCCCUCCUGGCCGCGGGGCUCAGGGAGGAGGUUCCCAGUGGUCAGGGGUGGGGGGCGCAGGAGGGAGACCAGCAUGGAGGUGACGGCCGUGACGGCCCAGGCGAAAGAACAGGCGGGGAGGCAGUGCGAGGCGGGGGGGCUGGGGGGAGAGGCUGGGGGGGGGGGGGGGG